rnacentral:lncRNA from 1 species
GUACAUUAAUCAUUCAUUAAAACUGCAUUAUCAUUUUCCUGAAAAUCACUUCAAAAACUUUUCAAAACACCGACGAACUUUCUGCUAGCAAUUAGUCCAUAACAAGGUUUAACCAAUUUCUUAGCAAUUGUACAAAAUUCAAAUUUAGAAUACACUCUCACGCAUGCUCGGCUAACUCUUUUGAUGCUAGAAACAUACUACAAUCAUUAAAACCCUUUGAAAUACACGUAAAGUCCUUAAAACUAAGAUUUCGCAUAGGUGCCCGUUUUUUUUGCAAAAGAGUUUAUAAUU